AUACAUACGCAAGUUGCCUCAUAUAAAGGUUCAAGAACAUAAGCUACGUAUCAAUAGUGGUCCUUGAGGAAGUAAGAAGAGCCUGGCUGUAGGUUUUAUGACAAGAUCUCAAAACUGACUCAAUUGCAGCCUUCACUUUUGGGAUGUAGUGGCCAAUACCACGAGCAUGAAGAAUUUCCAAUCCAACAUGCUGGCUGGUAGGAGACAUGACAAUGGCAAGCAAAGCACGAAGA
rnacentral:misc_RNA from 1 species